AUCGCUUCGCCUUUGGCUAAGAUCAAGGUAGUAUCUGGUGCCUUAUCAGUUUAAUAGGCCUGAUACGUCCCUACCCGGGACCAUAUAUUAAAUUGCUUUUGGAGCAGGGAGAUGGAAUAGGGGCUUGCUCCGGCCCACUCCACGCAGACGACCUGGUAUUGCAGUAUUCCCCGAACGGUGCGCCUCCC